UUCAACUAUUAUUUAACCAAAAUUUAUUUAUGGUUUCAAACAAAUGCUUUUCAUCACCUUCUACAUUUUGGAAAAAGAAAACGUCUAAUCACUCUCCCUCUACAAACUCUUUUGCCACCUAACUAACUUUCUCUUUUAAUCAACCUUCUUCCAUCACAUCAUUCAUCUGUCUUUUCUCUCAAACCCCUCCCAACACUUUUUUUCUCCCAUAUACACCAUUUACCAAUCUUCCCUUUAAUACUCCAAUUUUUACAAAAAACUUUAUUUCGUUUUCCUCUUUCAACCUUACUUUGUUUGCGAUUAUCAUGGUCAGACCCUUUGAGGUUACACAAGUAUUUAUUUGAAAAUGAACUUAUGAUAUUUGUUCAUCCACAUCAUUUUUGGGUUUCAUUGUUCUUCAUAUUCGAUUAAUAACUUUAGACCUAGAUAUACAAACAUCAUAGAAAAUUGGUCCAAAUCUACACAAAUGAGAAAAUAGAUCUAGAUCAUAGAUUAAAACGAGUGACAAGAAUCACGCACAACUCAUUCAAUAAUUAUGAAUUUUUCUUCUUGGUAACUCUUUUCAAAUUUUCUUCUUCCCGACGAUCCCUCAAUCAUGAAUACCGACGAGCUCCUCGAUAUUCAACUUGAAAAACUGCAGUUUCCUUGUAAAACCUUUGAUUUGAAAACGAGUUCUUUAAUUUAACAUGCAAUUUCCAAUUUUAUCCUUUUUAGAAUUUUUGUUAAUUUUUUUUCUGGUUUUGUUUGUGUGAAUUAGUUGAAUUCAGGAAGUAAAUCUCAUGCUCUAUAUAGUUGUCUAACAACACCGACAACUAUGUUGCUUUUAAGGUUGUUUUUAUCCUUUGUUUUUAUUUUGUGUCAAUUUUAAUUCAUGUUUUUGAUUUAGUGUAUGUGUUGAAAGUGGGUUAUGAAGGUAUUAGUCUAUAUUUUGGUAUA